UACAGAGGGUGCAAGCGUUGUUCGGAAUUAUUGGGCGUAAAGCGCGUGUAGGCGGCUUUGCAAGUUCGGAUGUGAAAGCCCUCGGCUCAAACCGAGGGAAGUGCGUUCGAAACUGCAGAGCUUGAGUACCGGAGAGGGUGGCGGAAUUCCCAGUGUAGCGGUGAAAUGCGUAGAUAUUGGGAGGAACACCAGUGGCGAAGGCGGUCCCCUGGGCCGGAACUGACGCUGAGGCGCGAAAGCGUGGGUAGCAAACGGG
rnacentral:rRNA from 1 species